UUUAUUUAACCCUAUAUUUAGCAAACUGAGAAAUAUUAUUUAAUGUAGAAACUGAUAGUUCAAGGAUAGAGGUAAAACUAGCAGUGAGUGCCAACAUUCCAAAUAGACAAAGAGGGACACUUUAAUUUUAGGGGUAUGAGUGGGGGUGCGGUUGGUCUGAGAAAUUUUAGGUGACUUACUAAUAAUUUAUGGAGCUAACACAAAAUUCAGAACAUGUACAAUGUAUCUUAUUUACACAGUGUGAUUUCUAAAAACAUUUAUUGUACUUUAAUGCCUGGAAAUUUAACUUAACCAUGUUGCUGCUUGGUGAAUUUGCAGGUAGG